CUAGCCCUGAAAAUGGAUGGCGCUCAAGCGUUCUCCCGAUACUAGACCGUCGGGGCAGUACCGGCCAGGGUAGCUUGCGCUCCCCGGUCUCGAAGCCCCGACGAGUAGGAGGGUCGCAGCGGUGAGCGUCGAAGGGACUCCGGCGUGAGCCGGCCUGGAGCCGCCGCUGGUGCAGAUCUUGGUGGUAGUAGCAAAUACUCGAGAGAGACCCUAGAGGGCUGAUGUGGAGCAGGGUUCCAUGUGAACAUCAGUUGGACAUGGGUCAGUCGGUCCUAAGUCCAUGGCGAAGGCCAGUUCCUACCGCGCAGGCAAAUGUCAAAACGUGUCGUACUUCUUACGAAUACAUUGUCAAAAGGGAAUGAGGUUGAUAUUCCUCAAGCUGGAUGUGGUGGCAGCGUGGCAACACAAACAAGCUCGGAAACGCCGGUAUGUGCAACUGGAAGAGUUCUCUUUUCUUCUUAACAAUCUAUCUCCCUGAAUGGAUUAUCCAAAGCAAGGGAUAUAUGGUUGGCAGAGCAGUUCACCAUUGAAUUGUCAGUGAUGCUCAUAACGGCCCUUGAAAAUCUGAGUAAGGUAUCCAAACACACCAGGUCGUACCCAUAACCGCAUCAGGUCUCCAAGGUUAGCAGCCUCUGGUCGAUAGAAUAAUGCAGAUAAGGGAAGUCGGCAAAUUA
rnacentral:rRNA from 1 species